UACGUAGGGUGCAAGCGUUAUCCGGAAUUAUUGGGCGUAAAGAAUGCGUAGGCGGUUUUGUAAGUUGUCCGUUAAAUUUUCAGGCUCAACCUGAUUCGCGCGGACAAUACUGCAUAACUAGAGAAUAGCAGGGGCAAGCGGAAUUCCCGGUGUAGGAGUGAAAUCCGUUGAUAUCGGGAGGAACACCAAUGGCGAAGGCAGCUUGCUAGGUUAUUUCUGACGCUGAGGCAUGAAAGCGUGGGGAG
rnacentral:rRNA from 1 species